UACGUAGGGCGCAAGCGUUGUCCGGAAUCAUUGGGCGUAAAGAGCUCGUAGGCGGUCUGUCGCGUCCGCUGUGAAAUCCCGGGGCUUAACCCCGGGCGUGCAGUGGAUACGGGCUGGCUGGAGGCAGGCAGGGGAGAACGGAAUUCCCGGUGUAGCGGUGAAAUGCGCAGAUAUCGGGAGGAACACCGGUGGCGAAGGCGGUGCUCUGGGCCUUACCUGACGCUGAGGAGCGAAAGCGUGGGGAGCGAACAGG
rnacentral:rRNA from 1 species